UCCAGGCGUCGAGUGGCGGACGGGUGAGUAACGCGUAGGAAUCUGCCAGAUAGUGGGGGAUAGCCCGGAGAAAUCCGGAUUAAUACCGCAUAAUCUCCAUGGAGUAAAGAGGGCCUCUAUUUAUAAGCUUUCGCUAUCUGAUGAGCCUGCGUAAGAUUAGCUAGUUGGUGGGGUAAUGGCCUACCAAGGCGACGAUCUUUAGCUGGUCUGAGAGGAUGAUCAGCCACACUGGGACUGAGACACGGCCCAGACUCCUACGGGAGGCAGCAGUGGGGAAUAUUGGACAAUGGGGGCAACCCUGAUCCAGCAAUACCGCGUGUGUGAAGAAGGCCUGAGGGUUGUAAAGCACUUUCAAUUGUGAAG
rnacentral:rRNA from 1 species